GCCUCUGUGGUGCAAUGACUAGCAUGUUGAACUUCUAAUUUAAAGGUUGUGGGUUCAAGUCCCGCCAGAGUCA